AGAAAACCAUUUUUUAAAAGAGUUACUUUGAUAGAGUAAAUAAUAGUUGGGAAUGGCCCUUUAUUUCUG